rnacentral:rRNA from 1 species
UACGUAGGGUGCGAGCGUUGUCCGGAAUUACUGGGCGUAAAGAGCUCGUAGGUGGUUUGUCGCGUUGUUCGUGAAAUCCCACGGCUUAACUGUGGGCGUGCGGGCGAUACGGGCAGACUGGAGUACUGCAGGGGAGACUGGAAUUCCUGGUGUAGCGGUGGAAUGCGCAGAUAUCAGGAGGAACACCGGUGGCGAAGGCGGCCCUCUGGACGGAUACUGACGCUGAGACGCGAAAGCGUGGGGAGCAAACAGG